GGCCUANGAAUGCGAGAUCGCACGGGAANUCGCAGGCUUCUACACUUCGGUGUAUCCUGCGUCAUCUAGAUGGCAAACGGGUGAGUACCACGUGGGUUAACGUACCUCCAGGACGAGGAUAACAGGGCGAAAGCCCUGCUAAUACUCGACAGGCUGCCCCUGCAUUAGUAGGGACCAGUAAAGGCUACGGCGCCUGGAGAUCGGCCCGCGNUCCAUUAGCUAGUUGGUGAGGUAACGGCUCACCAAGGCGACAAUGGGUAGCUGGUCUGAGAGGAUGAUCANCCACACUGGAACUGAGAUAUGGUCCAGACUCCUACGGGAGUUAGCAUCCGGGAAUCUUGCACAAUGGGCGCAAGCCUGAUGCAGCGACGCCGCGUGGGCGAUGAAGGUCUGCGGAUCGUAAAGCCCUGUCUGGAGGGAAGACAUCCGACUGUACCUCCAGAGGAAGCCCCGGCUAACUACGUGCCAGCAGCCGCGGNAAAACGUAGGGGGCUAGCGUUGUCCGGAAUUACUGGGCGUAAAGGGCACGCAGGCGGUCUGNAAAGCGGUGAGUGCAAUCCCGAGGCUUAACCUCGAAACUGCUUGCCGAACUAUCAGACUAGAGCAUGGGAGAGGACAGUGUAAUUCCCAGUGUAGCGGUGNAAUGCGUAAAUAUUGGGAGGAACACCAGUGGCGAAGGCUGCUGUCUGGAACAUUGCUGACGCUGAGGUGCGAAAGCCCAGGGGGAGCGAACGGGNAUUAGAUACCCCGGUAGUCCUGGCUGUAAACGAUGCUCACUAGGUGUUACCGGCAUUAAACCCCGGNUAGUGNUGUUCUGCUAACGCGUUUAAGUGAGCCCCCCUGGGGGAGUACGGCCCGCAAGGCUAAAAACUUCAAAUGGAAUUUGACGGGGGCCCCCCAACAAGCGGGGGGAAGCAUGUGG
rnacentral:rRNA from 1 species